AUUGAACUGAAGAGUUUGAUCCUGGCUCAGAUUGAACGCUGGCGGCAUGCUUAACACAUGCAA
rnacentral:rRNA from 1 species